rnacentral:rRNA from 1 species
UACGAAGGGGCUAGCGUUGUUCGGAAUCACUGGGCGUAAAGCGCACGUAGGCGGAUACUUAAGUCAGGGGUGAAAUCCCGGGGCUCAACCCCGGAACUGCCUUUGAUACUGGGUAUCUCGAGUCCGGAAGAGGUGAGUGGAAUUCCGAGUGUAGAGGUGAAAUUCGUAGAUAUUCGGAGGAACACCAGUGGCGAAGGCGGCUCACUGGUCCGGUACUGACGCUGAGGUGCGAAAGCGUGGGGAGCAAACAGG